rnacentral:rRNA from 1 species
UACAGAGGUGCCAAGCGUUGUUCGGAUUUAUUGGGCGUAAAGGGUGCGUAGGUGGCAUGGUAAGUCGGGUGUGAAAUCCCGGGGCUCAACCCCGGAACUGCACUCGAUACUGCCGUGCUCGAGUACUGGAGAGGAGACUGGAAUUUACGGUGUAGCAGUGAAAUGCGUAGAUAUCGUAAGGAAGACCGGUGGCGAAGGCUAGUCUCUGGACAGUUACUGACACUGAGGCACGAAGGCCAGGGGAGCAAACGGG